rnacentral:rRNA from 1 species
GACAGAGGGUGCAAACGUUGUUCGGAUUUACUGGGCGUAAAGCGUGUGUAGGCGGCUUUGCAAGUCGGAUGUGAAAUCCCACGGCUCAACCGUGGAAGUGCAUCCGAAACGGCAUCGCUUGAGUCUCGGAGAGGAAGGUGGAAUGCUUGGUGUAGAGGUGAAAUUCGUAGAUAUUGGGAAGAACACCGGUGGCGAAGGCGGCGACCUGGUCCGAUACUGACGCUGAGGCGCGAAAGCGUGGGGAGCAAACAGGG